UAGUUUUGGAAAGAUCUAUUGGUUAGGUGAGAACUUCUUCCAGUUGCUGGCUUGUCCUCCUCCUCCUCCUUACACAUCCCCUAGAACCUAUGAGGCAUCUGGAGGUGGUGCUCUAUGCUGUGUCUAUGCUCGCUGUUACAUUAAUUUAAAUAAAUUGUGCAAAUAAAAAAAAAAUAGAAAAAGAAAAAAAACAAACCCCUAAACCCUUCAUUCUGUGCAAAAAUAAAUCAAAAGAUUGGAGUUUCCAAUCCAGUUUUUUGUCCAAUGAGGUAAAAGCUGUUGUGUAAUGGCCUGUCCCUUUCUUCUCUCUGAAGGUCCCAACCCCAUGUGUCCCACUUGUCUGGAUUAAAAUUUGAAGUCUGGCAGUCUGGUUCUUUUCAUAGCUCCAGAGGAUUUUUGGGAGCAUGGGAUGCAUGGACCUGUUGACCCACAAAACUCUGGAGAAUGUUGGCUGUGGAUAAAAACAUCUGGAAGUUUCUACCAUCUUUUUACCCUGUUUUUCCUGGAUCAACCUGUGUCGUUUGUGGUCUUGCCCUGAGGAUUAUAGCAUACAGUCACUUACUGGAAUACCUUUCCAUGCAUCUUCUUGAAAUGGAGCCACUGCUUUACCCAGCUGGAAGAUAUUUUCUCUUCUCCCAGAGCUUUUCCAGUGCAGCAACACUCCUGUCCAUCAGGUCUCAGUUGACUGCAAAAAGGAGAAGAGUGUGUCAAAGGGAGGUCAGAUCCUGCCAGGGUUUCCUGGGAAAUGAGAUUUAUGUGGAAAGUAUGACUGACAGGAGCAGCUUACUCAUCAUUAGAUAA
ensembl:lncRNA